UUUGGAUUUCUUUGGUCUUUCUGACAG
rnacentral:piRNA from 1 species